rnacentral:pre_miRNA from 1 species
ACCUUCUCGCAGAGGCUCUUGACCUGGGAUUCGGACAGCUGCUUGCACUCGUUCAGCUGCUCGAUCCACUGGUCCAGCUCCUUGGUGAACACCUUCUCGUCCAUGAUGCCA